UUUUUUUUUUUUUUUUUUUUUUUUUUUUUUUAGAGAAACUUAUAUAACAACCAAGAGG
rnacentral:ribozyme from 11 species